rnacentral:lncRNA from 1 species
GGGGGUCGUUCUUCACUGAUAUACAGAGAGAUAUAAGAUUUACAAAGAAAUCGGUUUUCAGAUAGUCCAAAGCUUUAAGGUUUAAAUUUUUUCAUAAGGUUUUGUCCUUGAAGUCUUCAUCCAAGCUUUCCGGAAAAGCUCCUUUGGUGGUGGACGCUCGUUGUUUACCACUCGUCAUUCCAGUUCGCUGCCCAGAACCAGGUACAUUCUUUCUUAGCUUUGUUUGUGUUUAAUUCCCAGCUUGUCUGCUAUUUAUGUGUUCUUGGCUUUGUUUAGACUUUGGUUUGAUAAUUGAAUAGCUAAUAAUGUUUCUCCUGUGCUUACUGCUUUAUUGUUAUAGUCGUAAAUCUUCCUAACUUCUUUGGUGUUCUAUUCGUGUUGCCUGUCUGAAUUGGUCGUGAAGAUUAAUGUUCACCUUGGUUCUAGUCCUUACAUUUUCCCCUUUAAUGAUAAGCAUCCAAUUUUGUGUUUAUGCAUCUAAGAUGUUAAGCUUAUUAGUUUGAUUUCUCUGUUAAGAACUACUGUGUCCAACAUAUUCAUUUAUUUUCUAAUAUUUUCUUUUUUGGGCAUUAUACUGUACCCUUGCUCAUGUUUCUUUAUAGUUGAUAUUUGUUCAAGCUUAAAUUUGCUAACAACAUGUUUUAGUAUGGUUUUGAGUAUGUUUCAGUAAUUGUCACUUUUUUUUGAAAGAAAAAAUGAUGGUUCCUCAGUGUAUCCUAUUUUUAGUUUUUGUUUAUUUAGCUUAAAACUAAUCUUGUUCUUGAACUAUUACAUUUGUAAGCUUGAAUCUCUUGAACUCGUGGGCUGCUUAAGUUCUCUUUUUAUAUCCAUUUAAGCUCCAGCUUCAUAUUGCGCGUUUUAGUUUGAUUUUCUUCUCAUCUAGGUUAGGUAACUGCUGAUUUGUUGUUUUACGGUGAAACCUUGUUGGUGGUAUGAACUUAAGAUGCUUUCUGUCCAAAUGAUGAAUGUUAAAUAGGCUUGAGUCUAUUUAUGUGUUAGGAUUAGCUGUUGAUUCUCUCUGCGUAUUGAUCAUGGCUCGACAAUAUUUCUUAUCGUUAAAUUAGUUUGGGUUACCCA